rnacentral:rRNA from 1 species
UACGGAGGAUGCAAGCGUUAUCCGGAAUCAUUGGGCGUAAAGCGUCCGUAGGUGGCUUUUCAAGUCUGCCGUCAAAGACCGGGGCUUAACCCCAGAAAGGCGGUGGAAACUGAAUAGCUAGAGUACGGUAGGGGUAGAGGGAAUUCCCGGUGUAGCGGUGAAAUGCGUAGAUAUCUGGAGGAACACCGGUGGCGAAGGCGGCAUCCUGGACCAUGACUGACGCUGAGGAGCGAAAGCCAGGGGAGCAAACGGG